rnacentral:lncRNA from 1 species
AAGAGUUGAGAGUGAACAAAGAGAGAAAAAGAAAGAAAAUGAGGAGGAAAUAGUGGAGGAAAAUGUUGAUGGUGAAGUGGGGGAGUGGAGUGAGGAGGAAGAAGUUGAAAAUAACGAAAAGAAUGGUGAAGUUGAAAAGAAAAAAAGUGUGGAGAUUGAGAAAAAUACGAUUGAUGAAGUAAGGGGGGAGGAAGUGAAAAAGCCUAGAUGGAGGAGUGCUAGAGUUGCAAAGGG